GCCGGUGUGGCGGAAUUGGCAGACGCAAGGGACUUAAAAUCCCUCGGGGGCAACUUCGUGUCGGUUCGAGUCCGACCACCGGCA
rnacentral:tRNA from 1 species